AAUCGUGAGGUGGAAUCUGAAUGAAGCUGUAGGCAAACUCUUGGUUUGAUGGAUAGAAAUCACAUAUAGGGCUCGGGAAUAUGGAUAAGUCUGCAAAUGAAGACGAAGUCCUAGAGUUGUUCGAAGUACAAGUAAAUGUGGCGGAUAGAUGAGAGUAAAGA
rnacentral:ncRNA from 1 species